AUGCAACCCUAUGCCGGGAAUCGAAGGAAAGUAAACAUAGACGCAUAUUGUGUUCAACGUGAUGAUACAAGCGAGAGUUGGCCUACGCCGCCAACUGAUCUGCGGCAGUGUGGAAGGAGUGUUCAAAAGCAGCAGGAGCAGUUGUUCUACUGCUGGUCAGAGGGAGAGCUCAGCAAGGGAGAUAGAGGGAGCUGUACAACCACAAUCUUGGCAUAUAACCCGAUGGCAUCAUGCCCACGUAAGCUUCUUCCAUGUUCCAAUUCUUGCACAUGUUGGUCUUUUACUGUCAGAGCUUACGAAAUCUUAGAUGUUGCUGACAAAAGGCCGAGAUACAAUAUUUCAAUUGCAGACUAUAUAUUAUUCAGCAAGUACGUUCGCAAAAAAAUGUAUGGGUCAAAUCUCAAAACAAAUGGCACAUUCUGA
rnacentral:rRNA from 1 species